GCAGUGGUGGUCCAGUGGUAGAAUUCCCACCUCCCGUGUGGGAGACCUGGGUUCGAUUCCCAGCCGGUACA
rnacentral:tRNA from 1 species